ensembl:lncRNA
AAAUUACUUGUUAGAUAUUACUGCAUGGUCAGAACUAGAAGCACAAGCAUUUCACUACACUUGCAUUAACAUCUGCUAAACAUGUGUAUGUGACAAAUACAUUUGAUUUGAUUUGACGAGAAUGCUUUUAUUGGCCGCACAUGCAACAUGACAUUGAACACUUUAUCACCAAAGUGUGUAAGUGUAUCAAACAAAAGAAACCCAGUGUAAUAACUAGGGCCUCAAUGCAACAUGUACGAGCCACAGCUCCUUUCCAGAUGAUUUCAAUUGACUAUGUGCAUUUGGAGAAAAGCAGAGGGGGCUACGAGUACAUUUGAGUUAUUUUAGAUAACUUUACAAAAUUUGCACAAGCCUACCCCACCAGAAAUAAGUCAGGGAUAACUGCAGCAAAAAAGCUUUUCGAUGAUUUUUUCCCAAAGUUUUGCUUUGUUUCAGAAAUCCAUCAUGAUCAGGGAAAAGAGUUUGAAAAUCAGUUAUUCAGAGCCUUGCAGAACUGUACGGGAAUAGCCAAUUCCAGUACCUCUCCAUAUCAUCCACAGGGGAAUCCGAGAUUUAACCGUACACUGUUGUCAAUGUUGCACACACUAGAUGAAGAGAAAAUGGCCAACUGGGGAAAUUAUCUGAACAAGAUAAAGGAACAGGAGAAAUCAUACCAGGAUUACGCUAAGAAGUGGCAGCCACAGAUGAUUGAAGCCUUUGACAUCGCCAGUAGAAACAUGGAGAAAUCAACAGCAAAGGGAAAAGCCUACUACGAUCGGAAGAAAAUGAGUUGGGUUCUGGUCUCAGGGGAUCGUGUACCGGUGAGGAACAUGUCAGAACGUGGGGCGCCGGGAAAGCUAAGAUCACACUGGGAGGACCAAAUACAUGUGGUGGUAACCAGGAAAUGUGAUGACAGCCCUGUCUAUGAGGUCAAACCCAAGAGGGGUACAGGCAGGGCCCGGGUUCUGCAUCGCAUUAUGCUCAUGUCAUGUAAUUCCCUACCAUUUGAGGAACCUGUUGAAACACCCAGUAGAGGUCUGUGGAGAAGGGAACCACCCCAGCAAAAUCAGCAAAAUGGGGAGAGCGCUGAGUCUAAGAGCUCAGAUGAGGAUUCUUAUCCAGUAUUCAUCAAUAGGCCACGUAGGGAUGAGGAGAGCAGACAGAGUAGCACACAACUAGUAUCAGAUAAUAGUGAGGAACGGGGUCAGACUGAUAGAAACUUCACUGUGAAGGAGUGCCAGCCAGUCCUCAGAGAGAGCCUGGAGAGGACCCGGGUAAAUAUGGAAACAGCUAAGGGUUCAGAGACUCAAUCAUCUCAUGAUGAAGUGGACACGGAUUCAUUGGGGUCACCCAUGACCUUGCCCCGCCGUUCGGCCCGGCAGAGGAGGCCCAGAGACAUUCUAACCUAUAACACUUUAGGGCUGCCAAGCUCUUCUCAGGAUACCAACUAGAGAUGUUCUGAUGUGUAUAUAUUUUCUCGUUUACCUUUACUAAUCACAGUGUGAUAAUGUUUAGUGGGGGUUUUGUCUUUGCACAUAAAGGCAGACUGGACAUGUCUAGAUAGUUAUGUGGCUGUUAGGCCAGUUUUCUCCGUUGUUCUCACGACCAGUACUUACAUCUUCUGUUUGUUUUGAAGCCAGUGAAAUGUUUGGGGGUGUUGUAAGGGGCUUAGUACAUAUGUACUUCAGCCACUAGGGGGUACUCUGGUGAAGCCCAUGGGAAAUAAAGAAAUAUAGUUUAAGUGAAUUGGGAAGAGUAAGAAUGAAAAACUAAAGAAAGACUGUAAAUGGCUGUUACCUUUGCUGACAUGAUUAAAAGUGCAGUAAACCGUACUUUUCGCGGUGUAGUUUAUAUGAUAAGCUCAUUGGAAGA